CUUCUCACUCCCAUUCUUAGUUCAGUGGCGGUGGGGGUCGAUGAUGCAGAAUACCCCUUCCUACCUACCGUUUGUGUAUGGUACUAAGGCAGGGUCAUAAAACUAAAGGACCAAAGUUAUUAAAAUCAAUUUUAAAUGUCCAGACGUUACUAAAAACUUAAAUUGCCAAAAAAACUUCCUGAUACAAUGAACACAAAUUUUCGAAUUUUCUGAAAGCGUUCAUCACACGUGUCUACCAACUAUCCACGGCUAUGACCGUGACAUGUAGUACGUGUAGAGUAGUACCCUAAAUGCGUAUAGGCGCGCCUAAUCAAAAGUCAUCGUGGGAAAGUUCACGUAACAAAAAAUAUUUAAUUGCUAGACUGUUCUACUGAUUAAAAACAUUUUUAGAGUGUAGGCCUACCGUAGCAUACUGUGGAUGCAUAGAUGAUCCUGUCUGGGUUAGCUGUCUACGAACUAUUCAUACGCACAGCAGAUGCUAAAUUCGAAGUCAGCCAGGAAGACUGUACCAACGAUGUUGCCAAGUAAUUUGUGCCAUUCCUGGGUAGUAUACGAUGAAAAAUAUCACCCUGAGUUGGUUCUGUGAUGGUGUUCCUUAUAGCGUACGGUAGAUGGUGCAUGCCCCUUGUGGAUUUCGUAAGGCGACGCCCAGUUGAGGAAAAACAAUAUUUAAUUGCCUGUAAAUGUGGAACAAAAUGAAACAAAAUAUGAAACAAAAGCAACAAAUAAUAUUGAUGAUUAGUGUGCAGCUGAAUGUUGAUGAUAAUAUUUACUAUACUCACGGACGUCUUAGUUGUUUCACAUUAAACAGUGAACCCGGAUGGAGACAUCGUUUUGAGAGGAUUCAAUGAAGAUACAGUAGGCCUAAUCUGCUACUGACAUCAUUGUGUCUAUCAUUAUAAACAAAAUCAUGUAUUACUGUACUCCGUGACCCAAUGAAGUCAAAAUGUUCAAGGUCUAUUUUGAAACGAAAUUGUAUGCGCACGACGCGCAAAAGUAGCAUUUUGCUUAAGUUCGCCUUUUAUAAACAAAAGUUGUAAUUAGUGAAUAUUGUGUUUUUACCGAGCUUAAGCCUACUAGUGUUUGCAAAAGCCAAUGAUUUGUGAUUUAUAAUAAUGUACUUUAAUAAUAGCAAGAACAGUAACAACACUAUUCAACAUUCGUGAUUCUUGUUUGCAUUUUAUGGCUAUUAAAGGUGGUUUGCCACGCGAAAUAAAA